ACGUAGGAGACAAGCGUUAUCCGGAUUUACUGGGCGUAAAGCGCGUGCAGGCGGUUCGGUAAGUCGGGCGUGAAAGCUCCUGGCUCAACUGGGAGAGGCCGUCCGAAACUGCCGGACUUGAGGGCGACAGAGGGGAGUGGAAUUCCGGGUGUAGUGGUGAAAUGCGUAGAUAUCCGGAGGAACACCAGUGGCGAAGGCGACACCCUGGGCCGUACCUGACGCUAAGACGCGACAGCACGGGGAGCGAACGG
rnacentral:rRNA from 1 species